AGUUAAAGAAAAUCAAGGAGAGAGAAAAAUCAACAAAAAAAAAAAAACACUUCCUCCUUCUCUCCCCCAUCACCGACAGCCCCCCUCUCCCUCUCCUUCCCGUUUUCCGGCCAAACGGCCAUUGUUUCAGGCGAGUGAGGGCUCUAAAAUUAUCUACUCGAUGCAAGGAAGCACGAUCAAACCUCGGUUCACGCAUUAGUCGCAUGGAUCAAGAGAAAUCGCUUAAAAAAGAAGAAGAAGAGUUUGGUACCAUAGCGGCUCAUUUUUUCGGCGAUUCACGCCGUUUCGGGAAAGCCCAGGGCGUGAGUUCAGUACCAAACAACUCCUCUCUUCUUCCUCUUUCAUUUGAUGGCCUUCCCGCCGACUGUUAUAGCUGGAAUUGGAACACCCAAAAUGGGCACCGCCGAACCUUUCCGGUCAAUUUCCGGUCAAAUGGUUCACACCACCUUGAUUUGAUCACAUAUUAGUAAUCCUCUUGUCGAAACGAAUAAAAUGAUGUAUUGUUUGUAAAUUUGGGUGAAGGUUCGGUUUUACGGCCACCGUGCGGUCUGGUGACCGGCCUGUGACGCUCCGGCGAGGACCCAAGAGACAUAAUUUUUCCUUUUCCGUGGUGAUCGCAAAUCUUCGAUCUAAUUUUUAAUCGAUUGUGUUGAUAAUGGAAGGAGGAAGGGCUUAAUUGAUUGAUUUGCCAGACGGAUAGGCUGCGAUUAUAUGCUGAACUUCCUUGAAUUGGAAACAGGCAGAUUGUUCAAUUACAGGGGAGAUGUUGCUGAAUUUUUAUCGACGUAUCUUUAGAUAAUUAGAUUAAUUAUUUUUUUUAUUUUUUUUAUUUUCAUUAAUUGAUGUUUACGGAAGACUGUUUAAUUAAAGAAUUAUAAUGAGGUUAAAUUAACAUUUAUAACGUAUAUAGAAGUCUGUUAAUAGUUGUAUUAAGCACGUAAAUGUAAUGGACGGUAAAUUAUGGGGUUCCGCAAUUGUAUUUUAAAUAGAUUGUAAUUGAAUAAUAUGGGUACAUAUAUUUAUUA